GCGUCUGGGACGCGGGCCGGCGUGGGGGUCCUGGCUUCGUGGCGGCGGGGCUCAAGGACUUUGCCAGUUCCCAGUGGCUACAACCUGUUAUCCCGCAGGCUGUGUAGGAGUCUCAGCAGGACCUUCAAGACAUCCACUCUGCCUCCAGACACUCCUCCCCACACAUGCAGAAGGCCCUGGAGCUGAGACUGAGCUGACCUAUAAACAGUCUACUCCAAACAGAUCACACCGGGGAUAUCCUGGAAUAAUCAAAGCUGAACUGAAAAGCUGGGAAGCCUGGGGUGGCAGUUCUUCGUGGCUGUGCAGGGAAUGGGGAGGGAAAGGGUGGAGCGGGGCAGAAAGAGAAGCAAUAGAAAGCAAGCAGGCAUCUAGGGAAGCACUCUGCAUAGCAGAGGUAAUGUUUUGGACCCUGAAUGACUCCUGCCUGGCUUUUAUCCCACGGUGUGCCUGCGUGCUCAUGAAUACUGGCUAUCGGUAACGCUGUAACCUGACACAAAAAUGUUGCAGCCGGGCACAGCUUUUUUCAGUGGGUACGAGAGGAAGGAAGCUGUGCCUGAUCGCAUGCAAGAUCCAGCCAGAAAGGGUAGCUGCUAAGGGAACAAAUGACUCCUUGCAGAAAAAUGCACGGGUCCAGUCAUCAAAGCGUGCUUUAACUGCGGAGCGCUGUCCCGAGCUGCCGAGGAUGGCUGCGCAGUAGCCAGGUUGCACAGCAACCCCCUUCUCAGCAUGCCCUGCCAGGGCUGCAGUCGGGGCUCCGGCAGAAGGAGGUCGGGCACUGCCGAAAAGCUGGGGCAUGUUACAGGAGUUGUGUUUGUUGCUGUGGGAACGAAGCUGGCUCUGACUGUGGUUGUGGGCAGAAGUCUAGGCUUCUCCAAGAUGGAUUGGGGUGGGGGGUGGGAUUCCUCUGAGACACAAAAAGUUUACUCAUCUGACAGACAUCCUGCUGCUGUUGCUGUCCUGUAAACGGGAGGGCCCCGGGUGAUACUUGUGUCAAAGAGGUUUGGCGGUGUACAUCAUGCCUGUGGGUGGGAGGGCACUGUGGCCCCAUGCUGCAGUAGUAAAAUAGCCAUUUUGAUGGUAAACUCAUGUCUACAAGUCAGGUUUUCCAGGCAGAGGUGGCUUAGUAAUCUUCAUGAGCUCUUUACCCAAUUCAGUUAUGCCUUCAAGCUUUUAUAGAUUGAGAAAAUACAACACUAGUUAAAAAACUAUAUAUAGUAUUUAAUAUAUAUGUAUCUACUUACAUCUAUACAAUGACAUGAAAAUGUAAUAAUGUUUUGCAAAUAUGCAAAUAUGUUUUCACUCCCUGCAAGUUUCCAAACUUACAUAACAUAUUUAGCUUCAUCUUCUUGUUUUAUGAGUAAAAUACAGCGUUGGAUAUAUAUUGCAUAUAUUGUUAGUUGAAUGCAUGUUGAGAAGAAAUCUGGUUUUUGAAAGAU
rnacentral:lncRNA from 1 species